rnacentral:rRNA from 1 species
AACGAACGCUGGCGGCAUGCCUAACACAUGCAAGUCGAACGAGACCUUCGGGUCUAGUGGCGCACGGGUGCGUAACGCGUGGGAACCUGCCCUUAGGUUCGGAAUAACUCCCCGAAAGGGGUGCUAAUACCGGAUAAUGUCUUCGGACCAAAGAUUUAUCGCCUUUGGAUGGGCCCGCGUUGGAUUAGCUAGUUGGUAGGGUAAAAGCCUACCAAGGCGACGAUCCAUAGCUGGUCUGAGAGGAUGAUCAGCAACACUGGGACUGAGACACGGCCCAGACUCCUACGGGAGGCAGAAGUGGGGAAUAUUGGACAAGGGGCGAAAGGCUGAUCCAGCAAUGCCGCGUGAGUGAUGAAGGCCUUAGGGUUGUAAAGCUCUUUUACCCGGGAUGAUAAUGACAGUACCGGGAGAAUAAGCUCCGGCUAACUCCGUG